UGGUGCUUUGUUAUUUGCAUAUUAGUGCUGUAUCUGAUAAGACUAUUUGCCCUGUUAAUGCGUUAUUGCGGUAUUUGGCUGUCCGGCCUUCUGGUAAUGCUUCCUUUUUCUGGUUCAUGAGGAUUUGUCCUCUUUGUCUCAGUUUCAGUUUAGUGCAGUUUUAUCUAAAUGUUUAACUGAAUUGGGUUUUGGUGGUCAAUUUUUCUCCUUUCAUUCUUUUUGUAUUGGGUCGGCUACCGCUGCUGCGCAGGCUGGUUUGCAUGAAUCAGUAAUCAGAUGAAUUGGUCGAGCUGUUUGGAUUCUGGGCCACUCUGAUAUUCAUUGGGCACAUAGGAGGGCUGCAGAGUGCUGUUAUGGCAUUAAUUUGUCCUUGUCUUUGGAAGCCGUCAAGAUCUUCUGGGCCGGAGUUCGCUGGGCAGGUUUGGUUGAUUUAAUUUUGCAUCUGCAUGAAGUUUUUCCUAACCCAGACAUUAUUAUUAUUCAUUUAGGAGGCAACAAUAUCGGGUGUGGUGAUACCAUGGACUUGGUCUUUCAAAUGAAAAGGACAAUGACUGAUCUGUACAAAAAGACUUAAUUUAGCCCAUCACCCCAUUUUAUUGCUGUCGAUAAAGGUACUCUGUCUUUAUGACUCACCCCGUCAAUUUAGAUCAUUUUUAGUUGGUGCUGGAGAAUUUACCCGGAGCUCAAGUUUAAGGAUAAAGUCUGUAUAAACGAAUCAAUUAUGUCUAAGUUUAUGCCGUUACUUUGGGGAUUUUCUUUUCGGCAUGUUGAUUUGGAGAGUGGAGAGGCUGGACUGUAUUUUCCUGAUGGUAUCCAUUUAUCUGAUAUUGGUUGUGAUAUUUUUAACCUCAACCUUCAGGCUAUGAUUGAAAAAGCUGUUGGUAGGGUUGGGCCCUUGCCUCUUUGUUAAAGCAGCAUGGGCGGGGUGGGUGGUUUACAUAUGUCAUUCUGUGAAAGGAUGGACUCAGAAGUGUUGUUCUUGAUUAAUGAGCCUGAUUUAUGACUAGGUUCAGAACAUGUGUGGUUUUUGGUUUAAGAUGUGGUUUAAUAAACAAGCCAUUUAUCUCCACUCUCUUGUCUUAUGUUUUAUUUAUUACUAAUGCAUUGUUUAUUGGAUUAGAAAUAUAGUUAGGUAUGUUAUUUAUGGGAGGACGAAUAUGCUAUAUAUUGCCAUGAUCUGCAAAAUUCUCCUCUUCAUCUCCUCAAAAAUGACUGAGUGCAUUUGUGAAGAGGGCUACCUAAUGUCCAACUACCUCUUACCUGAAGAACAUCACCGGUGGCGGUACACAUUUUUUGCUCUCUCUAUCUAGAAGGCCUAAAAGACUCAGAACUGCAUGGCUGGCUUCCUCUAGGCCUUGGUACCUGAUAUUGCUACC